rnacentral:rRNA from 1 species
AGUAUCAUUAAGUGAAUACAUAGCUUAAUGAGGGGAACUCAGGGAACUGAAACAUCUAAGUACCUGAAGGAAGAGAAAGAAAUUCGAUUCCGUAAGUAGCGGCGAGCGAACGCGGAUUAGCCCAAACCAAUAAAGUUUUCUUUAUUGGGGUUGCGGACAUAUCAUAACGAAGAGGUAUCGUAAUUGAAGAGGUUUGGAAAGACCCACCACAGAAGGUAAUAGUCCUGUAUGUUAAACGAGAAGACUUUAGAUAUG